UACGUAGGGUGCGAGCGUUAAUCGGAAUUACUGGGCGUAAAGCGUGCGCAGGCGGUUUUGCAAGUCAGAUGUGAAAGCCCCGGGCUCAACCUGGGAAUUGCAUUUGAAACUACAAGGCUAGAGUGUGUCAGAGGGGGGUAGAAUUCCACGUGUAGCAGUGAAAUGCGUAGAGAUGUGGAGGAACACCGAUGGCGAAGGCAGCCCCCUGGGUCAAGAUUGACGCUCAUGCACGAAAGCGUGGGGAGCAAACAGG
rnacentral:rRNA from 1 species